rnacentral:rRNA from 1 species
UCCCAGACUCCUACGGGAGGCAGCAGUGGGGAAUAUUGGGCAAUGGACGCAAGUCUGACCCAGCAACGCCGCGUGAAGGAAGAAGGCUUUCGGGUUGUAAACUUCUUUUAAGGGGGAAGAGCAGAAGACGGUACCCCUUGAAUAAGCCACGGCUAACUACGUGCCAGCAGCCGCGGUAAUACGUAGGUGGCAAGCGUUGUCCGGAUUUACUGGGUGUAAAGGGCGUGCAGCCGGAGAGACAAGUCAGAUGUGAAAUCCGCAGGCUCGACCUUCGAACUGCAUUUGAAACUGUUUCCCUUGAGUAUCGGAGAGGUCAUCGGAAUUCCUAGUGUAGCGGUGAAAUGCGUAGAUAUUAGGAAGAACACCAGUGGCGAAGGCGGAUGACUGGACGACAACUGACGGUGAGGCGCGAAAGCGUGGGGAGCAAACAGGAUUAGAUACCCGAGUU